rnacentral:rRNA from 1 species
GUAGGUGGCAAGCGUUGUCCGGAAUUAUUGGGCGUAAAGCGCGCGCAGGCGGUUUUUUAAGUCUGAUGUGAAAGCCCACGGCUCAACCGUGGAGGGUCAUUGGAAACUGGAGAACUUGAGUACAGAAGAGGAAAGCGGAAUUCCACGUGUAGCGGUGAAAUGCGUAGAGAUGUGGAGGAACACCAGUGGCGAAGGCGGCUUUCUGGUCUGUAACUGACGCUGAGGCGCGAAAGCGUGGGGAGCAAACAGGAUUAGAUACCCUGGUAGUCCACGCCGUAAACGAUGAGUGCUAAGUGUUAGGGGGGUUUCCGCCCCCCUUAGUGCUGCAGCUAACGCAUUAAGCACUCCGCCUGGGAUACGGCCGCAAGGCUG